rnacentral:rRNA from 1 species
AUUGAACGCUGGCGGCAGGCCUAACACAUGCAAGUCGAGCGGAUGAAGGGAGCUUGCUCCUGGAUUCAGCGGCGGACGGGUGAGUAAUGCCUAGGAAUCUGCCUGGUAGUGGGGGAUAACGUCCGGAAACGGGCGCUAAUACCGCAUACGUCCUGAGGGAGGAAGUGGGGGAUCUUCGGACCUCACGCUAUCAGAUGAGCCUAGGUCGGAUUAGCUAGUUGGUGGGGUAAAGGCCUACCAAGGCGACGAUCCGUAACUGGUCUGAGAGGAUGAUCAGUCACACUGGAACUGAGACACGGUCCAGACUCCUACGGGAGGCAGCAGUGGGGAAUAUUGGACAAUGGGCGAAAGCCUGAUCCAGCCAUGCUGCGUGUGUGAAGAAGGUCUUCGGAUUGUAAAGCACUUUAAGUUGGGAGGAAGGGCAGUAAGUUAAUACCUUGCUGUUUUGACGUUACCAACAGAAUAAGCACCGGCUAACUUCGUG